GAAAACAGAAAUCAUCCAGAAUGCGCCAACCUUGUCAGAUUUCAAAGCUAAGACGGGUCGAGCCUGGUUCGUGCUUGAAUGGUAGACCGCCUGGGAAUACCAAGUGUUGUAUGUA
rnacentral:rRNA from 1 species